GAUUGAACGCUGGCGGAAUGCUUUACACAUGCAAGUCGAGCGGCAGCGCGGCCUUCGGGCUGGCGGCGAUCGGCGAACGGGUGAUUAAUGCAUCGGAACAUGCCCAGUCGUGGGGGAUAACACUUCGAAAGAAGUGCUAAUACCGCAUACGUCCUGUGUGGGAAAGCGGGGGAUCUCAAUACCUCUCGCGUUUGGUGUGGCCUAUGUCUGAUUAGCGAGUUGGUGGGGUAAAGGCCUACCAAGGCGACGAUCUGUAGCUGGUCUGAGAGGAUGAUCAGCCACACUGGGACUGAGACACGGACCAGACUCCUACGGGAGGCAGCAGUGGGGAAUUUUGGACAAUGGGGGAAACCCUGAUCCAGCCAUUCCGCGUGAGUGAAGAAGGCCUUCGGGUUGUAAAGCUCUUUCGGCAGGAAAGAAACGGUGGGCUCUAAAAUAGUCCGCUAAUGACGGUACCUGAAGAAGAAGCACCGGCUAACUACGUG
rnacentral:rRNA from 1 species